AUUCAAUCCCGCCCGUGGUAUGGUUUGUUUGCAAUCGUGUCAUUACGAUUUCGUGAGUCUUGCCAGUCAACAAAAACAUUAUCAACGUUACUAGGUUAUAAAUUCGCCCCCCCCCCAACAUCCUCUCAGUCAACCACAUCGAAGUUAUCCACAUUCUUAGAUAGGUAAAAUUUGACAAGAUUAGGUUUGAUUGCUGUGUUAAUUUUUAGAUACAUGUUGGGACAAGGUUAGGUUAGAUUAUGUUAAUUGAAGUGAAUAAAACGCGUAAAUAUGUUUUGCUGGUUUUCUUGAGGGGGAACCACUGAAUUUCACGCAGUGCGGGCUAUUCAUCGCGAUCACGAACGGUUUUGAGGUCUCUGACCUCAAAACAAUUCCUGAUCAACCAGGUUGUGGUGCACACGCUGGACUGCGGGUAUCGGGCACUUACAGCUUGAGUGAUCACGCCAGCAACCAGAAGACCUGGUCUGGGACCGAGCCGCCGGGGCGGUGACUUCUGGAAGCGACCAGUCAGUCAGACUAUUUAUGAUUAGGGGUUAAGAAUCUUCAAGUGAUCCACUCUACUUUGAGAUCACCGUUACAGACGACACGGUAAAAAGUUGUGGGAUUUAAAAAGCUUUUUCAUUUACAAUCAUUCAGAGCUUUUGAAAAUAUUAUAUUCUUGUUUCAAUGAGGUAGCACUAAACCCGCAGGGAUGAUUCCCAAACUGAGAGAUGUUUAUGUACGUCUCCUUAAACCAGCUACCCAAUGUUCAUUUAGCUGUAAAUAGCUACCUGUAUGUUAUUCGAGUGCUGUGGACUGCAUUCUAGUAUUAUACUUUGAGAGAUCAGGUUUUGAUAGAUGAAGUAGGGUAUCAGCUCUCAGCUCGUGAAUUCAACUGUGAACAAAAGCGAAAUAAUGGCUACUUCCUACGAGACGUGAGUGCAAAACAAAAACGAAUCAAAACCGAGACGAGCUCAUCACAGGCCGCCUCCAUCCCUCCUACGGAAAGUUUGACGAUAUCGUGCUACUAAAAAUUUCCAGUUCAGGCCGACUGUUUUCAUUUAUGUAUGUAUGAAACAUAUCCUGUGCGAUGAAAUUUAACAGAAAAAUACAGGUAGCUUUUGUUCCCACAAUAUAACUCUUACAGAAUAGGGUAGCUGCAGUGUUUGUACUUAGUUUUAUUUAAAAAAAAAAGCACAUUCUCUGACCACACACACGCCAUUUGACAGACAAACGCCAUUAGGUGUGUCACUGGUGGAGCGCACAUCGUCAAGGUUACCGAGAUGCAUCACCAGCCAAACUCAGACGGACCAAGCGUGGCGUAUUGCAGGAAAAAACUGCACACGUCUACGUUGUUGCAAUACCAUCUGGCCGCAGUAAAUAACACUAGCGAGACGGAUAAAGUGUUCGAAUUAACCAAAAGGAACAGAGUUUGACUCACGGGCUCGGUGACAGAAAUUGGCAAAUUUUAUACAUGCUAACCCUGUAUACACAUCAGUAAAUGAGUAUCUGUGUACUCACCUAUGGUUUCUUCAGUCCAAUACAGAGAAUAACAGGGGAAGAUGAGGAGUAUGACGUAAUCAGUCUAUCAGCCUGGAGUCGAUAUAUUCAGUCCAUCAAUCUUGAGAAAUGUACCUAACACAUCAACUUCAGACUGAGGGACUGACUACCUCAUACUCAUCUUCGUCUUGUUAUUCUCUGUACUGGACUGAAACCACUGGCUGGCGAAACGUUUCCUCUAUGAAGUUUCCCAAAUUUGCAGAAGUGUCUCAUUCUUCAACCGUAUACAAUACGAUGAAAAUGAUGAAUAAGACAUAUACUACAAGGGGGUAUCUUCACUGGCAGAGUUUUGCCUGCACAACAGCCCUCAUCAAUCUAAUACCUGGAGACAGGUGUAGCAAUUAAAGACAUCACAUGUGGGUGGGGCCCACUAGUUUAAAGCCCAUCCAGUGGGCCAGAAGUUAGCAACAGAGUUGUAGACCAUAUCCCCUAUACUAAGAUUCCAUGGUUUUGCUGUGUCAAACAUCAUUAUAUCAAAGGAAUACAAUACCAAUAAGUUGACGAGUGAAUAACGCAUGUGCAACACCUGGGUAUCCUCUCUAUAAUAAUACCCAGGUCCUGCACACGUUGUAUUCACCAGUUUGUCGGUAUUGUACACUUCUGAUGUAAUAAUACUUGUCUAACACAAUGGCAACGUGGAAUUUUGGCACACAAUAUACAACUCUAUUGAUAAUCUACUUCUACUAGUGGGUCCCACCUAUGACCUGGUCUUCAACUGCGGCAUGUCUCAUUUUCAGCGACUCAUUUGCUAAAUCUGUGACCUAACUUAGAGGCCUGACUAUUUCCACUAAUGGGCCCUAGUCACAUGUGACGAUGUCUUCAACUGCUGCACCUCUCAUCUGGCUCCAGUACAUAAAUCGCCAUCCUAAUACCUCAGUAUUAGAUAGAUCAAGUCUGCUGUGAAGGCGAAACACUUCUCUAAUAAAGAUACCCAGGUAUUGCUUAUGUCUUAUUAAUGACCUUAAUUUAGGCAGGGCUUCAAAAUAAAAUGAAGUAAGAUAACAGCUAUUAGCCUGUAAACUGAACUGUGUAUACUCAACAGAUUUAGGUUAGUAUUCACCAACUCAUAUUUUAUUAUGUUAUAUACGUAUAUACUGUGUACUAGACGUCUGCAUUGAGUACCAUGAACAACAUAGUGAAUUGGGAUAACUGACUGAGCAUUCAAGAACGUGAGCAACAAUAUAUUAAAUUCAGAUGUCACAGCUGCAUCAGGAAUAUAAACACCAUACUGAAUCCAACUAUCAAUCUUGGUGCUCAGGAAUGCUGAAACAUACUGAAUGAACAACCACCACCCUGGUCCCUGGGCUUCUGCGCUGGCCUUGAUGGAGUACGAAUGUUUCACUCGACACAUCUUGAACAUUAGUGACUAAUCUAUUUUCUACCCAGGACACUUGGCUUCAUCAUACACAGCCUGCUGGGCAACUGUUCUAGGCACCAUACAAAGCAUUUUCUAGGUAUUGAUCGACAGAGCCUGGUAUUUUGAGGAUGGUAAGCUACAGAAACUUGCAGGUGUUCACUCCCAAACUCCUAGGCCUUGCCGGAAAUGCUCUGCACGCACAACCAAAUGUCACCCAUUUCUGUACAAACAUUGUACAGUACUGUAUCAUGUGAAAAUAAAUAUUUGUCUUGAAACUGUUGAUCUAUAGUUCCUGAACCUCUUGAAAAGUUUGAGUUAUAGUAGAUAGGUCUCUUGAGAGAGCUGACCUGUAGCUCUUAUGUCCAUCGAGGGUUUUGAGGUACAGCUAUUAGGCCUCUUGUGUGCACUGAAGAUAUAUGACAUAGGUGUUAACCCUUUCAGAUCACAAAGUAACUGAACAAAUCUACUUUCCCUUAUUCUCUCCCUGAAAGAGAAUAAGAUAAUCAGUGGGGGUAUCAUUCAUAAUCAUGCUUUUUUUUUCCACAGCGGUUUUCUAUGACCAGGGGUUAAGGGAGAAAGUUAAAACACAAUGUGGGCAUCUUGUAUCAAUCCCAAUUUGUUUCAGGUCUAUAAAGUUGAGUUGGAGCUCUCUGCAUGUUAUUGUGCUCAGGAUGUUUGUGGACAGCCUAGAGUUGUAAUUUAUAUUCAUCAAGAAAUGGCAUCCUAACAUAGGCCUUAGUCAGAUGGUGAAUCUUUCAGUGGCUUCUUGUAACUGACUCCAGCCUUUCCAGCAGGGUAUUACCUGCAAGGUCUUAGGAACUGCACAAUAAAAUAAACACUCAGGUUUUACCGGUCUUGCCCAAGGGCCAGUUUGUGGGUUUACCAUGGUGUGCAGGCCCAUCAAGAUAUACAUGUACAUCAAUAAGUCUGCAUACUUGUAAAUAUAAUGAGGUAUAAUUUUGUAUAGCCCUGUUGUAAAAGGUCAUUUCCACUUCAUGGGCUAAACACGAGUUGGCUGGUGUUUAGCUUGAAUUUGAUUAACGUGAUAAUUAGUUAGCGCCAGUCGUGGAAAAACCUUUUCUUGACAGUGUCUGCAUGGUGGAAAAAUAACUUGGAAAAUAAAUUUCUCUGUAAUAUGUGGCAAAAAGGCUUAAAAGAAAAGUAUGAAAAUGGAUAUCCAAAUUUCUAACAGACAGAUCACAAUGAAUGACUAAACAAAAAUAGUCAAGUCUACCUGGAGGGUGUUCCAGGGGUCAACAUCCCUGUGGCCCAGUCCUUGACCAGGCCUCCUCCUUGAUGGAUCAGGACCUGAUCAUUCAGGGCCAUUUCUGGUGGCUGCACAUAGUCGCAAGUACAAACCACAGCCUGGCUGACUGAGUACUAACUUUAGAUAUCUGCUCAGUUCUCUCUGGAAGGCAGCCAGAGGUCUAUUGGUAAUUCCCCUUAUGCAAAAAUUUCAGCAACACAAUGCAUGAUCCUAACACAUUUACUGUUGCUAAUCCUCAUUGCAGACAUAAACAGAAACAUUAACUACAAGUUGAUACUGAAUGAGGAGGAUAAAGGAUAUGUGGCCCAACUACUUCUGAUUUUUACCUGAUAAUGACUGUGCACAGUUUACAUUAUACAAAAUCAUGAAAUUUAUGUGAGAUGCAUAUUACAUUACCCAGCACUAAUACACAUGUAUACAUGAAAGGUAUCUAUAGGCAUACUCAUCUUUUGCUGACUAAUACAAAAAUAAACAUGAAAGCUGCCUCAGUAAAACAAUAAAAAUACAUACCUUUUAUAUCAGCAAAAUUUUUCAGUAUGCAAAGGAAAAUAAUGUUUAAUGGUGACAGAUUACAAUUACUUAGAUAAGGGAUGUAUACUAUAUACCAAUCAUGGAUAUAUAGUACGAGAGAAAAAGAAUGUUCUAUGUCCAUGGUUGCUAUUUCAUUCAAGCCAUUAUACUCUGCUUGAAGAUGAAGCUUUGACUGGGAUUCAGAAAGUUAAAUAAAAAAAGUUUUUUGAGGAACGAGGGAACUAUUGAUUUGAAAAAGAGAUACAGUAAUUUGCUAUGGUGCAGGGUUAUAUUUAAGAUUUGGCAAUCAUGAGCUGUGAAACCAAGAAUGCUUGUAUAGAAGCAUGGGAAAGAAAAGGAAAGAAAUGUGGACAUAAUGUUACAACUUAGUUUAGGGACAUGCCAACGAAUCAGGAAGUUCAUGGAUUUACACUAGGAAGAUGGUGCUGUAGCCUACUACUGUACAGUAUAAACAACAUCAAUGAGUAACAUGCAACUGUAAAAAAAAGGUAGGACUGUACUAAAAUAAGCAGACUGCACCCCAGCAAAAACAUAACACUGAUGGCUGCAAGGUUGUAAUUGCCCAAUAUGGUCACAUUAGAUGCCUAAACCAGGGAAAUGCAAAGUUACAUACAGGUGAACACCAAAGACCCAAGUUACCUACCUGGGAUGCACAGGAGUCCAGUCUUCGGUAUCAUCAGGUUCUGGCUUGGGAACACGGAUCUCUGGCCAGAUAGUGUGAACCCACUGCUGGUGAAGAAACACAGCAAGUGCUGCCAGGGUGACUACGAAGUAUACUCGUAGUUCACUCCAUACCAGCAGCC